CUAAUUAAAAUUAGUUUUUCUUAUUUGUGUUAAAGUGAAAAGAAUUUUAAUGCAUAUGACUUCAAACACGGUCCAUCAGUUUGCAACAGAUGUAGUCUCAUACUUGAAAACAAUUGGCAGAUAAGUGCACAACGCUUCUGUAAAGCACAUUUGACAUUGAAUGCUUUAUAUAGACAGAGAAAGCAGUAGCCAUUUAACAAUUUAGUGCUUUCAUCACAGUGUUGAAACUGGAAGCGGAUUGUCUUGCAGUGAUUGUAACAUGGCAGGAGACCAACAUCAAGUCCACCAUAUGUCCAAGUCCAUAGAAAUGUGUCAGAGAAUGUCUGCAUGUGAUCUUGUAGUCAUGCAGUAAUAACCCAAUGAGCUUUUUAAUGCUGAUACUGUUGUAGAAGUUUCCCACAUGGUGCACAGAGACAGGAAGGAGGUGUCCAGUGUCCCACAUAAUAAGGAUAAUGCGUCAAAGAAUACAAUCAAUAGCUCAUAUUAUCCAUAUAGGUCCUUCCUUUGCGCGCAUUUCCAACUAUUUUCGGUAUAAAUGCAUGACAGUCUUUAUGCACUCAGUCACAUUUCCGGAUGAGGCCUUGGUCAGCAGGCUGUCAUCAAAACUGGCCGUUUCGUUUGCGCGCGUACCAGCCGAGAAACGCGCAGAUCCCCACGAGCGUCACUGUCGCGCCCAGCAGCAAAGCCGCCGCGUCUCCUCCGUCAAACGCCUCGGCGGUCUGGACGAGCGUCAGGAGGAAAAGGCAGAGCAUCGUGACUGAGUUUUGGUCUUUGAGAGCCAUGUUGCUGGUCGCCUGUGAGGAGGGAAGCGCAAGAGCAAUGACGACGCGUCAGAGCUCAGAUGCCGGCCGAGACGAUGGGCGACGGUUCUCAUGACUCAUGGCUGAACCACUGAAAGAGGGGCACUGUGAAAUGACUUCAAGAGAACCUAGUACUCCUCUGCAAACCCCUUGAAGGUCCCGGGCCCCAUGCAGUUUGAAAACCUCUGCAGAAAGGUAUGGAGUUACCGAGCCAGAGUAUCACCCAAAACAAAUGCUAAAUACAGAGA